GAGGCAGCCCACAAACAAACACACCACAGGGACAGCAGAAACAACACAGACACAACCACAAGGCUUUGAUAUGGAUUUGUGUUUCAACUCAUUCGCCAAAGUCUAUGAGAAGUCGCCUGACGCCAGAUUUGUAAGCGCGCGCUACAUAAACCAACAUCACGGACUAUAGCCCCGUCAGAAUCAUUUGGAUACAGCACAUAGGCUACAGAUCUGGGUUCCGGUGAUGAGAAGUGACUGUUUCAGACACAGGUUAUAUAAACCCGAUGAGAGAGAGAUCUACUGUAACCGCGGGUGUGUCAGUAAAACGCUAGCUUCUAUAAAUAGACAUUGGAUUGCCGUGUUGAUUGGGCUAUCCUCUUACACACUAUGGGAUUAAUACUGAGGACGAACUGGGGUGCACAUGGAUAAACAUCGAAAACAUUCACACGACUGUCAAUGCUAAACAAGGAGACCCCUUCCAAACAAGAUUGAGAAUAUAUCAUCUUUGUCAGCUGGACUUAACUGCCCUGUGAAACGUAAGAUAUUGAAAGUAAGACUAGUUUAUAAAGACUCAUUUCUUGUGGCAUGAUGAUGUCGACAAUGCAUGCAUAUCAACUACUUCUAGUGAUCCAGUUCAACAGUACAUCAUGCAUAUCAACUACUUCUAAUGAUCCAGAUCAACAAUACAUCAUGCAUAUCAACUACUUCUAGUGAUCCAGUUCAACAGUACAUCAUGCAUAUCAACUACUUCUAGUGAUCCAGUUCAACAGUACAUCAUGCAUAUCAACUACUUCUAGUGAUCCAGUUCAACAGUACAUCAUGCAUAUUAACUACUUUUAGUGAUCCAGUUCAACAGUACAUCAUGCAUAUCAACUACUUCUAAUGAUCCAGUUCAACAGUACAUCAUGCAUAUCAACUACUUCUAGUGAUCCAGUUCAACAGUACAUCAUGCAUAUCAACUACUUCUAGUGAUCCAGUUCAACAGUACAUCAUGCAUAUCAACUACUUCUAGUGAUCCAGUUCAACAGUACAUCAUGCAUAUCAACUACUUCUAGUGAUCCAGUUCAACAGUACAUCAUGCAUAUCAACUACUUCUAAUGAUCCAGAUCAACAGUACAUCAUGCAUAUCAACUACUUCUAAUGAUCCAGUUCAACAGUACAUCAUGCAUAUCAACUACUUCUAGUGAUCCAGUUCAACAGUACAUCAUGCAUAUCAACUACUUCUAAUGAUCCAGAUCAACAGUACAUCAUGCAUAUCAACUACUUCUAAUGAUCCAGUUCAACAGUACAUCAUGCAUAUCAACUACUUCUAAUGAUCCAGAUCAACAAUACAUCAUGCAUAUCAACUACUUCUAGUGAUCCAGUUCAACAGUACAUCAUGCAUAUCAACUACUUCUAGUGAUCCAGUUCAACAGUACAUCAUGCAUAUCAACUACUUCUAGUGAUCCAGUUCAACAGUACAUCAUGCAUAUCAACUACUUUUAGUGAUCCAGUUCAACAGUACAUCAUGCAUAUCGAAACCACUCUUAGUGAUCCAGUUCAACAGUACAUCAUGCAUAUUAAAACCACUCUUAGUGAUCCAGUUCAACAGAGCUCAUCGAUAGCCUGGGAAAACAACUCAUUUCUGCAAGAGUAGCUUAGUAUAUUUUUUGUCUGUCAAUAAGUGUUGCUGUUGUUGAAAAGACAACUAUUCCUUGUCGUCUUGUCCUACCAGCACUGACUUUGUUGAUAGCUUCUUUACUGAGGAGAAAUGUACUUGUGACAACGGUGAUAUUCUCACCAAGCUAUCUUAAGGUGACUGACUGUAAGUUGUUCUGGAUAAGAGAGUAUGCUAAAUGACUAAAAGGUCAAAUGUAACAGCAAGACAUUGUAGUGAAAACAAUCCUGCAAAUCCCAGACAGCCAAUGAGAGUCCAAUCGCUGCUUAGCCUAAUCUAUGACGGAUCAACAUGUUUCUUUUCCACAAAUGUACUGAACACCGCAAGCACACACACAGCCAGACCUUUACAGCAUCAGUUACAACAUUCACAUACCACACACACACUAGUGUUGUCAUGAUACCAAAAAUGUGACUUGGUACUUGAUACCAUCACGAUACUCAAUAUCAGAAACGAUACCAUGGCUAAAAAAAGGCGCAUUGCCAAAUGUACAGAAUGGCACUUGAUCCAGAUAGCCAUGCAUGAAUCAACUAACCCUAACCUCUUAUAUAUAUUUAAAAAAAAUGGCUCUGCCUUUUGGGCCCCUUAUGUUCUUGGGCUCCGAGGAAUCGGCCCCUGUAAGCACCUGUAUUAAAUCAGGCCCUGGGAGUGAGUGCUUGUUUUGGCUGAUUUAACGUGGUAACAGAUGACAAACAAUCCAUUUCCCUUCCAUUCGUGGCCUUGUUUUAUCUUCUUUUAUAAACGUGUGCGCAGUGUCUUUAACACUUAAUGACGUCACUCAAACACACUGACAGGAGAGACCCGAGGCGAGGGAGACCAAGUGAAUGAAUAACGUGUUUGGCAACGACCGUGUGGUUUUUGGCGACAAAUCAGCUUUGAUAUCGGCAUGUGUUGCAUUAUGGUUUGCAUUAUUAUCACAAACAGAGUACUAGGGUGGUGAAUUGAUGUGGACUUCAGCUGUAAGCUAGCAAGGAAAGUUAGCCUACAAAGCUGGAAGCGAAAAAAAGUGAUCUGAUUACAUUGUAGUGUUCUAGCCUGUAAUGGACAUUGUUUUGCGAACAGUAAUUAACAGUUGCUCAAUUUCUACGUGCUGUGUUGCAUUAUUCCAGUGUGUUAACUUCUGCGCAGCGUGAGUGGGGAGCUAGCAUGAUACAGCCCAGACACUUAGAGCAGGACAGACUAGAGUCAGUAUGAGUGGGGAGAUAACAUGAUGUAUCCCAGACUCCCAGUGUGAGCAGUAGUUCUUCAGGACAGACUAGAGCCAGUAUGAGAGGAGAGCUAACAUGAGGCAGCCCAGACUCCCAGUGUGAGCAGUGGUUCUUCAGGACAGACUAGAGCCAGUAUGAGAGGAGAGCUAACAUGAGGCAGCCCAGACUCCCAGUGUGAGCAGAGGUUCUUCAGGACAGACUGGAGCCAGUAUGAGAGGAGAGCUAACAUGAUGUAGCCCAGACUCCCAGUGUGAGCAGAGGUUCUUCAGGACAGACUAGAGCCAGUAUGAGAGGAGAGCUAACAUGAUGUAUCCCAGACUCCCAGUGUGAGCAGAGGUUCUUCAGGACAGACUAGAGCCAGUAUGAGAGGAGAGCUAACAUGAUGUAUCCCAGACUCCCAGUGUGAGCAGAGGUUCUUCAGGACAGACUAGAGCCAGUAUGAGUGGGGAGCUAACAUGAGGCAGCCCAGACUCCCAGUGUGAGCAGUGGUUCUUCAGGUCAGACUGGAGCCAGUAUGAGAGGAGAGCUAACAUGAGGCAGCCCAGACUGCCAGUGUGAGCAGAGGUUCCUCAGGACAGACUAGAGCCAGUAUGAGAGGAGAGCUAACAUGAGGCAGCCCAGACUGCCAGUGUGAGCAGAGGUUCUUCAGGACAGACUGGAGCCAGUAUGAGAGGAGAGCUAACAUGAUGUAGGCCAGACUCCCAGUGUGAGCAGAGGUUCUUCAGGACAGACUGGAGCCAGUAUGAGAGGAGAGCUAACAUGAUGCAGCCCAGACUCCCAGUGUGAGCAGUGGUUCCUCAGGACAGACUGGAGCCAGUAUGAGAGGAGAGCUAACAUGAGGCAGCCCAGACUCCCAGUGUGAGCAGUGGUUCCUCAGGACAGACUACAGCCAGCAAUGGGUAAGUGAAGCAGGCACGGUGCUCUCACGCUAUAAGUGGACCGGGCUGUGCUGAUAGACAGACUUGAUCCUCUCUCAAUCAGUAAACGACGUGAGACACAUUUGACAGAAGAACCGAAAGUACCAAAAAUUCUAGCACUAAACCGUUUUUUCAUGUUCUAGUAUAGAAAAAGUCCUGACGUUUGGGUAUACCGUGCAACACUAACAUACACUGCCCUCUA